AAAGUUGUCUCCGAGGGACCCUGGGCUCCUCUGCAGGCACCCUGGCCCCUUUAUGUGCUGCCAGAUCCCUCUGCCAACUUCCAACAUGUAUGACAAAGAUGUGAAACUGAGGAGAGACUGGAAAACCACAGUUUUUGUUGGGAAAGAGGAGAGAGAGAACCUGAGACACAUUGCACACUGACAGAAUCACAGAAUGAGUAAGGUGGGAAGGGACCUUUGGAGAUAAUCUAGAUCAUGUUGCACAAAGCAGGGUCAUCUGGAGCGCAUUGCACAGAAGAACCUCCAGAUGCCAUUGGGAUGCUCAAGUUUAGGAUAAGGGAGGAGGGGAAGCCCAGAUGCCCGCAGCAAGGAUCAAGACCUUGUAAUGAGGCRUCUGCCUCCUCCCUGCAUUGCAGUACUGGAGUCUUCUCUGCUCUGUGCCACGUGAUGGUUUUCAUGCCCUUCUAAGGGAAAACGAUAGCACAUUUAUUCCUGCCCGAGCAUGGCAGAAACAUGGAGCAUAGCCUAGGACUGCUGCACUCAUGAUUACACUCAUGAGAAAAAGACGUUUAUAGCCAGUUAGACCCAGUGAAAUUUUUGAAUUUGCAUCGCUUCCACCCAAAAGGCACAAUUUCUGCAGGCAAAAGUACAAGACAAUCAUUCAGGAACUAGAGCUGUCAAGA